rnacentral:rRNA from 1 species
UUAAGAUAGUAAGAGCAUACGGUGGAUGCCUUGGCGAUAUCUGCCGAUGAAGGACGCGACAAGCUGCGAAAAGCUGCGGUGAGGUGCAAAUGACCUUUGACCCGCAGAUGUCCGAAUGGAGCAAUCCGGCUGUGGUUAUGCACAGUCACCCAUGCCUGUGAGUAUGGGAGGGAACCAGGCGAACUGAAACAUCUAAGUAGCCUGAGGAGAAGUAAUCAAACGAGAUACCCCCAGUAGCGGCGAGCGAACGGGGCAGAAGCCCAAACCGCAGAAGGAAACUUUUACGGGGUUGAGGGCCGUCAUACGAACGUGGAAUCCAGCUGAAGCUUCUGGGAAGGAGCGCCGCAGGAUGUGAAAGCCAUGUAAGCGAAAGAGGAAGCGGAACAGACGGUACCAGAGUACCGCGGGACACGAGAAACCCCGUGGGAAGCAGGGGGGACCACCCUCCAAGGCAAAACACAGAUAUCGACCGAUAGCGCAUAGUACCAUGAGGGAAAGGUGAAAAGCACCCCGGGAGGGGAAUGAAACAGAACCUGAAACCGUAUGUUUACAAGCAGUCGGAGACCGUAUAUAUAUCAGGUCGACGGCGUGCCUAUUGAAGAAUGAACCGGCGAGUUAUGAGGUCCAGCGAGGUUAAGCAGGAAAUGCGGAGCCGAAGCGAAAGCGAGUCUUAACAGGGCGAGUAGUUGGACUGCAUAGACCCGAAACCACAGUGAUCUACCCAUGUCCAGGUUGAAGCACAGGUAAAAAUGUGUGGAGGACCGAACCUAUAUCCGUUGAAAAGGGUUAGGAUGAGGUGUGGGUAGGGGUGAAAUUCCAAUCGAACGUGGAGAUAGCUGGUUCUCCCCGAAAUAGCUUUAGGGCUAGCCUCAGGGUAAAGAUUGCAGGCGGUAGAGCACUGAUCAGGAGAGGGACCUACCCGGUUACCAAACCCAGUCAAACUACGAAUGGCUGCAAUUAUACCUGGGAGUCAGACUACGACUUAUAAGGGCCGUGGUCAAAAGGGAAACAGCCCAGAUCAUCAGCUAAGGUCCCAAAUGCCGUGCUAAGUGGCGAAGGAUGUGGCGUUUCAUAAACAACCAGGAUGUUGGCUCAGAAGCAGCCACCAUUUAAAGAGUGCGUAAUAGCUCACUGGUCGAGAGACGCUGCGCCGAAAAUGUCCGGGGCUCAAGCACGGAACCGAAGCUAUGGCAUUGCGUAAGCAAUGGGUAGGGGAGCGUUCUUAUGGGGAAGAAGCAUUACCGUAAGGAGAUGUGGACACAUAAGAAGUGAGAAUGCCGGUAUGAGUAUCGAAAAGAAAGGUGAGAAUCCUUUCCACCGAAAGCCCGAGGGUUCCUGAGCAACGAUCGUCGUCUCAGGGUAAGUCGGGACCUAAGCCGAGGCACAGACGCAUAGGCGAUGGACAACAGGUUGAAAUUCCUGUACCGGAUGGAGUCAUUUGAGCAAUGGAGUGACGCAGGAGGGCACAUGAUCGCGCGACUGGAAGAGCGCGUCCAAGUGCGUAUGUUGAAUCGGAGGCAAAUCCCCGAUUCUGAAAGCAGAGACAUGAUGGGGAGUUAUAAGCGAUUAUGACGAACUCAUGGAUCCCACACUGCCAAGAAAAACUUCUAGCGAGACGAAAUCCGCCCGUACCGUAAACCGACACAGGUAGGCGGGGAGAGAAUCCUAAGGUGCGCGGGAAAACCCUCGUUAAGGAACUCGGCAAAUUGCAUCCGUAACUUCGGGAGAAGGAUGGCCCUGAGUAGGCGAAGUGCAGAAACGCACGGAACAGAAAAGGGUGGCAGAAAAGAGGCCCAAGCAACUGUUUACCAAAAACACAGGUGCCUGCGAAAGCGAAAGCUGAAGUAUAGGUGCUGACGCCUGCCCGGUGCUGGAAGGUUAAGGAGAGAGGUUAGCGCAAGCGAAGCUUUGAACUGAAGCCCCAGUGAACGGCGGCCGUAACUAUAACGGUCCUAAGGUAGCGAAAUUCCUUGUCGGGUAAGUUCCGACCCGCAUGAAAGGCGUAAUGAUUUGGGCGCUGUCUCAACGAGGGGCCCGGUGAAAUUGAAAUACCUGUGAAGAUGCAGGUUACCCGCGACUGGACAGAAAGACCCCAUGGAGCUUUACUGCAGCUUGAGAUUGAAUCCCGGUGGCAGACGCACAGGAUAGGUGGGAGGCUUUGAGAUAGUGACUUUGGUUGCUAUGGAGCCGACGUUGGGAUACCACCCUUCUGUUGCUGGGAUUCUAACGCGAAGAUUAACAACCUUGCGGACCAUCUCAGGUAGGCGGUUUGACUGGGGCGGUCGCCUCCGAAAGAGUAACGGAGGCG